CUCACUGUUGCCGCUUCACUACUUCACAAGACUCUUGUGUAACUAAGUAACAGCAGAAGCCGCGCUAUCCAAACCACACAAUUAUAUCCAGUUUUGUUGCAGGUGUGGAAGUGUUUGGAGCUGAAUGCAGAAGGUCGUAGCUGUGCUUGGUGGGGGGAUUGGGGGUCUGUCGGCCUGUCAUCAUCUGAGCAAGAGUCCUAAUGUUUCCAAGAUUGUGCUGUUGGAGAGAUCUGGGAGAUGUGGGGGUUGGUUGAGCUCCAUACGGAGGGAUGACGGGGCCGUGUUUGAACAGGGACCAAGAGGGGUGCGACCUGCAGGUGCUGUCGGCCGGAACACUUUGAAUAUGGUCUCUGAGUUGGGUCUUGAGUCUGAAAUCCUGCCUGUUACAAAGGAUCAUGUGGCGUCUAAGAACCGCUUCCUGUAUGUGAAGGGACAGCUGCACAAGAUGCCAUCAGGACCUGGUGGGGUAGUCCGCACCAUCCCUCCUUUCUCUCGACCCAUAAUUCAGAGCGUUCUGAAGGAGAUACUGAUCAGGAAAGGGACAGAGGAGGAUGAAUCCGUGCAUGCAUUUGUGUCCAGACGACUGGGUUCUGAGUUGGCAAAUAUAGCCAUAGACAGCCUGUGUAGAGGAGUUUUUGCUGGAGACAGCAGACAGUUGAGUGUACGCUCCUGCUUUCCACCUCUUUAUGAAGCAGAGCGGUCUCGGGGCUCCAUCGUGCUGGGCAUGCUAAUGGGUUCAGGAGGUGGUCCUAAAGUAGUCCCUUCUGACUUGGCAAAGAGAGCAUCUAAAGAGUCUUGGACUCAAUGGUCUCUUAAAAGAGGCAUGCAGGCAUUCCCAGAAGCCUUGGAGGACACGCUGAAGAGACAAGAGCGAGUGGAGCUUCAUCAUCAUGCCAAAGUGAAGAGUCUGAAUAUGAACAGUGAAGGCUGGGAGAUCAAACUAGAUAAUGGGGUCUCUUUGAAAGCAGAUCAUGUGAUUUCUACACUACCUGCAUCUGAAUUAGCCUCUGUACUGCCCCCUGCUGCUCAGCCUCUGUUGGAAGAGCUGCGAUCCAUCGCUUUAGUAACCGUUGCUGUGGUGAAUUUGGAAUAUGAAGGUUUCAUCCUUCCUGUUACUGGCUUUGGACAUUUGGUGCCUUCCUCUGAAGAUCCAGGUCUGUUGGGGGUGGUGUACGACUCUGUUCCCUUUCCACAACACAAUCGGAGUGGAGGACUGACCACUAGACUGACGGUGAUGAUGGGGGGUGCAUGGUUUGAGCAGACGUUUGGUCAUCCUGAUUCAGUGACGAAGCAGACGCUGUUGGAUCGAGCCACCCAGGCUGUGACCUCUCACCUGGGCGUAAACUCUCAACCUGUAUGGAGUUACGUCGGUUUACUCAAGAACUGCAUUCCGCAGUAUCAUUUAGGACACUGGAAACGACUCGAAAAGAUGAGGCAAUACAUCAGCAACCACAAUCUGCCCCUUACACUGGCGGGAGCUUCCUACGAUGGUGUCUCUGUCAAUGAUGUUAUAUUUAGUGGACGGACUGCAGCUGAGGGUCUCAUUGGGAAAACAUGACUUAAACUAACUUUUAAUUUUGUCUGCUUUUAUUGAAUAUUUUAGGUUUUGUGAUAUCCAUUCUGUGAUUGCUGAGAAGCAUCUGAAAAAAAUGCACACUACCAUAUGAACAACAUGUUUUACUUGAACCCAAAAUGGAAAUCAAGAGAGCAUCCAAUUGUUUGGUUCAUCACACAUGAGGGAGUUCCUCUGGAGGCCGAACUGUCCAUCAGCGGUCUCCUGUUGCCCCUAUUGUUUGUCACAAUGCAGAUUUCCUAACACCAGAACGGAGCAUCUGAGUGUGACCUCUGGUCAGCUGAAGUGUGGACAACCAGUGAGGCGAAUAGAAAGAAACAAGAGAUAAUCCUCCCCCGAUGCCUCAUUAGAAGAAGAUGAUGAAAAAUCUAGGAGAAAAAUGACAAGGCUUGAUUGCUCAGAGCAUAAAAACGCUUAAUUUACUGUUGUCGAAUGCUAAAAGGCCUGCAAAUUGUUCCGUAAUUAAAGGAGAAGGCAUAGUUAUGCCUGUUUGAAAUUCAUAUGGUGCAAUGGGGUCUCAGAAGGAGCUUUAGUGUUCGUACAGUAUUGAGGUGCUGGUUUUAAAUGUUCAAUCAGCGCAGUGAAUUGAGGAAGGAAAGCCUUCGGGGCUGCCGUCGUUCAUGAACUGCUGCCCACCUCCCACAACUCUCCAAACCUUGGCUUGGUGGAAUAAUGGUCCUGUAUCUUAUUCUCCCAGUGUUUUGUUCCAUGUUCCAAGUCAUAUUAACAAAGAAUUAUUGCCUGCGAAUGCAAUUAUCUGCAAAGCUGCUGAGGACAUUAAACCCCACUCUUCGGUAGGCAGCAUAGUCAGUCUCGCCAUGCUCAUAAUCCACAGGAGUUUAAUUAAUCAGAAAGUUAUAGUGUUUUGCAGAAUGGGGGGGUGCGCUUCAGAUCAGUUUAUGACAGCGGAAAAAUCUCUUUCUCUCUUGCCUACGCUUUUUUGCGGUGGACUAGCUAAAAUAUUAAUAGAGCUCAUAGGCGCUGGAACAUCUCCCAUAAUGAAUACAUGAUCGUUGGUGACGGUCCCCGGCCCCUCACCCUAUUUCUCCCGACAGGGACUGAAUUUUUCAAUCCCUGAAACUGAUUGGUGUGUAAUAAUUGCUAUAUUUUCCCCUUCCGUUCUCAUCUCCUGUCUGAGCUGUGACUGAUAGAGGUGGAUAUUAAUUGGAAUAGUGGAGCGGAGUUGUGUGGAUAGGUGAGGAAGAAGCAGAGCUUGGCCCAUUAGAAGUCCUGUCACUCAUCACAUGUCCUACACCUGUCCUGCAAACUCAAGGUAGAUUCAUUCCUGGAGAUGGUAGGUGGUCUUUUCCAGCUGAGGCUGGAUACAAAUUC